GGACGCGGUAGGCAAAUGGCAAAGCCGCCGUAAGUCUCUGAUUCAUCACUUCGUCAGGAUUCAAUCCACGCUCGACUGCCGUUUGGAGUACAUGGCAAACGACCGCUAGGUCUUGCGGGUUCAAGUCCCGCCCCGUCCG
rnacentral:tRNA from 1 species